rnacentral:rRNA from 1 species
UGGGGAAUAUUGCACAAUGGGCGCAAGCCUGAUGCAGCCAUGCCGCGUGUAUGAAGAAGGCCUUCGGGUUGUAAAGUACUUUCAGCGGGGAGGAAGGUGUUGUGGUUAAUAACCUCAGCAAUUGACGUUACCCGCAGAAGAAGCACCGGCUAACUCCGUGCCAGCAGCCGCGGUAAUACGGAGGGUGCAAGCGUUAAUCGGAAUUACUGGGCGUAAAGCGCACGCAGGCGGUGUGUCAAGUCGGAUGUGAAAUCCCCGGGCUCAACCUGGGAACUGCAUCCGAAACUGGCAGGCUUGAGUCUUGUAGAGGGGGGUAGAAUUCCAGGUGUAGCGGUGAAAUGCGUAGAGAUCUGGAGGAAUACCGGUGGCGAAGGCGGCCCCCUGGACAAAGACUGACGCUCAGGUGCGAAAGCGUGGGGAGCAAACA